CAGCAGCCGCGGGAAUACGGAGGGUGCAAGCGUUAAUCGGAAUUACUGGGCGUAAAGCGCACGCAGGCGGUCUGUCAAGUCGGAUGUGAAAUCCCCGGGCUCAACCUGGGAACUGCAUUCGAAACUGGCAGGCUAGAGUCUUGUAGAGGGGGGUAGAAUUCCAGGUGUAGCGGUGAAAUGCGUAGAGAUCUGGAGGAAUACCGGUGGCGAAGGCGGCCCCCUGGACAAAGACUGACGCUCAGGUGCGAAAGCGUGGGGAGCAAACAGGAUUAGAGACCCCUGUAGUCCCUGUCUCUUAUAC
rnacentral:rRNA from 1 species